UCAAAGCCAGGCCUUUAAGAUCCCUUCCACUCCAAAUCCUUCUAUGAUUCUAUAAGAAAUAUUGGAGUUUUCCAACUGGUUCCAAGUUUCAGAAGUACCCAUUUGGCAUCACCCACACCUGCAUACUUAAGGGCCAGAUACCAGCCUGAAAUCAGCAGCUGUUUUGUGUUCCUACUACAUACAUUAUUAAUGGACACCUUGUCUCCUUAUUCAUCACCAGUCAGGUUGGUAGAAGCACUGCAUCUGAUGCCCUAAGGCCAGAAAGCCCCCUUCUACCUGCUGAAGAGCUUAGCCAACCUUGCUAUGUUACAUUGACCUUCAUCAGCCCAAGACAGAGACAAACAUCCAGGCCAUGUGUGGCUCUUUCCAACUGCUGACCUCAGCAGCUACCCAUCACCACACAGAGCUCCUGGUGGACUUCAGAAUGUUGUAUUAUGACCAAGACCUGAUAGACCUCCACCCAACACCCUCCAACGAAAAGCACUGAGAACUGAGGUCUGACUGUAGAUAUUCUGAGAAGCAGAACCCCAUGGGAUGGGCAGUGUGAAAGCUAGAAGCUAAAGACUGAUGAUACAUGGGGAAGAAUUACGAAACAAGGUUCCAAAGAACGGAGAGAAUAAGCAAGACAAGUUAUCUAUAAGCAUCUGGACAUAAAGAUACAGCACAGCAGGAACCCAGCCAGAGAAAAGAGCACAUCCUGCACUGAACUGCCCAUGAACUCACUCACACUUGUGAGCCCAGCCUGCCUGGAUGAGUUUAAAGUUAACAUAAGCUUGAUGGAAAAAUGUCCAAUGCCUUGGAAGUCCAGAAGAAUAAACCAGAUACAAAUCCAGCAAAAUCCCACUUCCGGAAGCCAGGAGGAGCUAUAAGCACACCAGUGCUAUUGGCUUGAAGCAAACACUUCUUACUUUAACAAAUAAGAAUCCUAAUUCAUUGAUCUGACAGUUUUGGAAUGAGUAAUGUGUCAAUACAGCAAGUCUGCCUGACAGAUACUGGUUUAAUUCCAUUUAAAAUAAAAGUAAAACCAGGAUGUUGCAAAGCAUUCGAUAUCACCAGCAGGAAUAUAAUUAGGAGAACAGGGGUUUUUUGGGGUACAGCUUCAUGGUGGAAGUGCAAGCACCACCUACUGCCCGUGGCAUCCCUCCUUACACACCAGGUAUGCCCACACCAUUACUUACACUCAUAAAGCUCAAUGGUUGCUCACAGUCCCACCUUAUUCUGCAUUUGUUAAUCAAUAAAUAUUCAGCAUCAAGGAGAAGACAAAGAACACUUUAUGAACUGAAGCAAUCAGUGUCAUCUACGCAUUCAGGGUUGCUGGAUGAUGUUAACAGAGUUAUUUAGUUAAGCUUUGCACAAUCAACCAUGUGUAUUUCUUUCGUGGACACAUGCCUUGAUAGCCUGGGGGUUAAAUACAGAACUGCCAAGUACUUUCAGGUGCUAUUCAAAUUAGUGAGGGAUUUGCUUUGAAUGCAAAUGUUUGAAGUGCUACAACAAGAAAAUGGCACGUGUGAGUAGAGGCCUGAAAUGUAAUCAUUUGAUCCUAAGUUCUGUGAUUCAUCCACGCCAGAUACAAAUAUUAAUGUAAGACAAGAGGCCAAAGCAGCCACUAUCUGCAAACUUAACAGGAAAAACCCGUUCUGCCAGAGGAGGGCUCGAAGAGUGCAGUGAAUAGAGAAAUGUUUUUAGUACCCAAUGAGCUUCUGGUUUUGUGGAACAAAACACAUGACUGUGUAAUGAAAAGACCAUGGUGGUAUACAUAAGAGCUUAAACUCUGGUAAUUUGAAUAUAUAAUUUACAAUAAUGGUCUCUUAACACAGCAAGAGACUCAGCACUUUUUUUUUCCCCCAUUUCCACUGGAACUGUCAUUCUGGUAUUUGCAUACAUAAUAUCAAUCAGAGUAAGCAGCCCUAAUCUUUUUCUCCUAACAAAUCCCCAGUCAAAAAAUAAUCCACGCUUCAGCAUUAACCUGACAAAUUGGAAGUUCUUGCAAUUUGCAUUUAAUGUAUUUUGCUGUUUCUUUUUACUUGCCCCUUUUAUUUCAAAACCUUGUUAUUCACAGGGCUGCUUUUCCAAAAUGUCUUAUCUGGGAAGGCACUGCAAGUUAUUUACCUAGCAAACCCAUCAAUACUCCAUUGCAGUGCUUCUACCAGGAUAUGACUCACUUCUGCCUUUUACAAACUCUGUAUUCCAAAGACCAAACUCAGCUCACAAAACAUACACGUGUGCUUUUUACCUAUGACAUCACUAGUAGUAGCUGUUCCUUUUAAAAGGUCAAACCAAAAGAGGAAGUGUAAAAAACCUGAAACCACAGGUUUCAUUUGCAGGCCUUUAUAUAAAGAACUGCAGAGGGAAUGCCCUGUUUUCUCCCCCUCCCCUUUGCUUUGUCUAUUUACCAUAUAGCAUUAUUCCUUGUUAAAAAAGCUAAAAUACCACCUCUGUAAUUCCAUCUGAAAUGUAAUUCAAUGUAACGUAUAAGGCAACAAAUUUUGGUCUUCACUGAUAAAAAUACCAGCAAUGAUGCUUUUAUUCUAACAAAAGCACUUCAGAUUUCUCCAGUUCAGCUGACAAGACAGAAAACAACCACUUUUUAAGGCAUUCAAUUCAUUCCUUGGAGUGGUGAAAGUUUUAUUUUCCCCAAGGAUUUCCAACUACUUGUUCAGCACAUACCAACAGCACCCCAAACCAGAAAAAGGGAAGAAAUUAAUUAGAAAGUAGAAGUAAUUACUAUAAAACAGAAAAUUUAAGUAAGGCCAACAUCCGGACCACGCAUGGAAUAAGAAAUUAGACAAAAAAGACACCUGGCCUUACAAAUGUAGGCAGUCAUGAGGCAUUAAGUGACCCUUUGUUGACUCCUGAAAGUGAAAAUAUGGACAGAUCCCAUCAAGCUUUUCAUUUCAAUGCACUAAAGCUGAAGUGCAACAUAACAGGCUGAAAUCCUACUGGGGAUCCAGUGCUUGCACAACACAAGCAGCCACAUCUGCUGUUACCAAGCAUAUUACAAUCCAGGCAAGGAGAAUAUUAACUUAAAGCAGGUGAUACACAAGUUUUAAGUAAGGUUUCUCCGUACCAGUAAGCUACAUGCAGAACUACUAUUGAAGAGGCAAGAGAUUGAUUCUGUUACACGUUAAAGCCAAAGCCUAGAGAAGAAUACCAUGUAAUAGAUGCUCACAAACCAGCAACCACUGACAAUGUAGGAGGAAAGAAAGCUAAGUCAGCACAAUAAAAUAAAAAUGGAUCCCACAAGUUCUUCUAGGUACACUUAAGUGCAUUCCAAACAUCCAUACACAGAAUAUAAGUGGGCAUCAGCAAAUAAAACCAUUCACUCUGGGAGAGAUAAGUCCCAAGGAAUCACAAAACAACCAAAACCAGAGUCCUGUAAUACAAAGAAUGCUGUGAUUACCCAAUUCUCUACUCCUGCAUGCAGCUUAAGGCCCCUCUACAGCAAAAACUUUGCCUAAGGCAAGCUGCAUGUACAAGAAGAACUCAAAAAGCAGAGAACCACUAACAUUUUGCUCCAAAGCCAGGAUGGCAGUCUGGUCAGCAAGUUUCCAGCUCUGUCAUUUUGGUAGGUGAGAAGACACCUUUUAAAUUCCUCUUGUGCACAAAAUAAAUACAUCAUCAGUACGGACCACUCUACUUAGAACAGAACCCAGUAAGGAAGGGUAAAUAUUGCUGU